rnacentral:rRNA from 1 species
UACAGAGGUCUCAACCGUUGUUCGGAUUCAUUGGGCGUAAAGGGUGCGUAGGCGGUCGGGUAAGUCGGAUGUGAAAUCCCAGGGCUCAACCCUGGAACUGCAUUCGAUACUGCCUGGCUGGGGUACUGGAGAGGAGACUGGAAUUUACGGUGUAGCAGUGAAAUGCGUAGAUAUCGUAAGGAAGACCAGUGGCGAAGGCGAGUCUCUGGACAGUUACCGACGCUGAGGCACGAAGGUCAGGGGAGCAAACGGG